GACGAACGCUGGCGGCGUGCUUAACACAUGCAAGUCGAACGGAAAGGCCCCUUUGGGGGUACUCGAGUGGCGAACGGGUGAGUAACACGUGAGUAACCUGCCCUUGACUUCGGGAUAACUUCAGGAAAAUGGGGCUAAUACCGGAUAGGAAUCCUUGCUGCAUGGUGGGGGUUGGAAAGCUUCGGCGGUUUUGGAUGGACUCGCGGCUUAUCAGCUUGUUGGUGGGGUAGUGGCUUACCAAGGCUUUGACGGGUAGCUGGCCUGAGAGGGCGACCGGCCACAUUGGGACUGAGAUGCGGCCCAGACGCCUACGGGAGGCAGCAGUGGGGAAUAUUGCACAAUGGGCGGAAGCCUGAUGCAGCAACGCCGCGUGCGGGAUGACGGCCUUCGGGUUGUAAACCGCUUUCAGCAGGGGCGAAGCUUGUGGUGACGGUACCUGCAGAAGAAGCACCGGCUAACUACGUG
rnacentral:rRNA from 1 species